GACGAACGCUGGCGGCGUGCUUAACACAUGCCAGUCGAACGGAAAGGCCCUGCUUUUGUGGGGUUCUCGAGAGGCGAACGGGUGAGUAACACGUGAGUAACCUGCCCUUGACUUUGGGAUAACACUAGGAAACUGGGGCUAAUACCGGAUAGGAGCUCCUGCUGCAUGGUGGGGGUUGGAAAGUUUCGGCGGUUGGGGCUGGUCUCGCGGCUUAUCCGCUUGUUGGUGGGGUAGUGGCUGACCAAGGCUUAGACGGGUAGCCGGCCUGGGAGGGUGGCCGGCCACAAUGGGACUAAGAUAGGGCGCAGAAUCCUACGGGAGGCAGCAGUGGGGAAUAUUGCGCAAUGGGCGGAAGCCAGAUGCAGCGGCGCUGCGAGCGGGAUGACGGGCUUCGGGUUGAAAACCACUGCCGACUGUGACGAAGCGUGAGUGACGGUAAUGAAUAAAGAAGCACCGGCUAACUACGUG
rnacentral:rRNA from 1 species